UGCUCUCUCCACUCACACCCACUCCCUCCCCUCCUUCUCCCACGAGCUGCUGCUCCUCCUUGCAUGCAUGGCCGGCCAUGGCCAUGGAAAGCACUCCAAGAUGCAGCUCCCUCCUCCCUCAAGCUUCCCCUCACCAUGAGAGCUUCCCUCUCACUCUCUUCUCCCCUAAUCCUUGAUGAAUCCAGCUCUAUUUCUCCUUUCUCCUCUCACAAGAUUGGAUCUUGAUGCAGGUGCAUGUUGGUCCAAGCAUGGAGAAGGUUGAGCUAUCCUCAGAUCUGAAGUUCUAGAGCAAAAUCCAAAUCGAGUGAUUCAAAGUUCCACAGAUAGGUAUUGAAAAGAUCUACAACUCGGCGUUUGUCUCAUCCUCAAAUUCGUUACGGAUUUUGCAUGGAGCUUGGAAACGAAUUUUGGAAUGAAACCAAUUGGGGGAUAAUUGGUUUAUACCAUGGUGAUAACCGAGAGAGGCAAUUGCUAAGUUGUGAUGCACUCAUGCCUCUACUAGAUGCGAACAAUUCCGGAGAAGAAGAAGAAGUGGAAUCGGAUGAGGAUUUUAUUUAUAUAUUUUGUUGGAAUUCUUAUAUUGAUGGAGUUGAAGAAGUACAGGGACAAAUAAGCCAAGGCAAGCCAUCUUUGAACUCUGAAUGAUGUGGUGUUGGAUGUCAAUUGUUGAUGUCCCUAAGCAUCUUAUCCCUUAUGUGAUGAUCUCUCUAUGUUGGUCUA